AGUGCUUACUGUAUGUUGGGAAUUGUCCCUCAGUCUCACAUGAAAUUUAUUUCUCUGAAAACCUUACAUAUUUCCUUGCUAUUCCCACUUUACAGAUAAGGAGACUGAGGAUUAAGUCUUCUCUCUUUUUGGGGGAGCUCAUUAUCAAUGACUGGAAGUUGUAAGGAAAAAGAUAUUGAUUCAUCCUGAGAAAACAUUUUUCUGAGAGUCAGCAUUGAAGAGGGUGACCACUGAAGAGGGUGAUCAUUGUUCGAGUGAGACGAGCCCCGUGUUGUACGGAGUCAGCAUCCCAGUCCUGGACACGGUACUGUGCUGCGUGGUGGGUGAGGCAGCGUGGCCAUGCAGGGAACGAGGAUGCCGUGCCGUUGGGCUGUGCUCAGGCCUGGCUCGAUGAGUUUCACUGGAGGGAAUUGAUCUUACAGAAGAUGGACUUAACUCAGGCCUCUUCAGAAUGGACAAAUGAACCUGGAGAAAGACAGUCAAAUCUGUGCAGACAUUGAAGUCCACGUGAACGUGCUGUAUCCCUGAGCCAAAGAUUGGACAAGUAGGCAGCACUUCUUGAGGACAGAGGAGUGGUUUUUAAGGUUCUCCAAGAAUGAAUCCCAGGGAACCGGGAUGGCCAGUUGUCAAACUGUGACUUUGCUCUUUGGACGGUGUGCCCACCAAAGGAGAGGAAAACAAGUCUAAACUUACCUUCCAGUUGGAAAUGGAAUGGAGAGUUAACGUUGGAAGCCGGGAGAGUCUGUCCUGUAAUGAAGCGGUCUCCAAGCCACUUCCACUGGGACGUCACGUCACUGUCUGGGCCCCUUUCUCAGCCUGUGCACAGCGUUCCUAGGAGAGAAUUCAGCAGUGCAGCAUCUUCUCCGAGCUCUAUGAGUUGAUCGGCUUCCACUGCAAGUCCAUCUUCUUCAAGUGGGUGGCCCCCGUGCAGCGCAUGGCCCCCGGCAUCCCGGAGCCUGGCGGGAAGGCCUGCUACCGACUCCUUCUGCAGACGCUUCCUGGCUACAGUCUGUCACUGAUUCUGCAGGACUUCAACAAAGGUUUUGGAACUAAAACAUUGCUUCAGUCCGAUUAACCAUGCCUUGUUUGGGCCCUGCUCUCCUGUCUCAUCAGGGUGAAUUGUGAUUCGUGUAGAGCAGGACACAGCAGACUUUUUUCUGUCAAGGGCUUGGGAGUCAAUAUUUCUGGAUCUGCAAACCUCCUGAUCUCUGGUGCAGCUGCUCAGCUCUGCUGUUCAGACGCCAGAGCAGCCGGACAGUCCACACACCCACAGAGCUUUAUUCACAGCAGUGGCUGGGGCUGGAUUGGGGGUAUGAACUGCAGUUUGUCCCCACAGCCUCCUCACUAUUGACGCCUGUACCUGAGCGUGCAUUUGCGACAAUGGGUGAACCUACACUGACACGUCAUCAUCACCAAGUGCCCAUACUUGACACUAGGAUUUACACUUGGUGGUGUGCACUCUGUGGGUUUGGACAGAUGUACAAUGACACGUUUCUACCAUCACAGCAUCAUACAGAGUAGUCUGUCUUAGUGACCCUAAAAAUGCUCCGUGCUGCACCUCAUUCAUUACUCCUUCCCCUCUAGCCUCUGACAGUAACUGAUCUUUUAGUCUCUGUGGUUUUGCCUUUCCCAGAACACCAUACAGUUGGAAUCAGACAGUUGCGGAACCUUCCCAGAUUGGCUUCUUUCACUUAGUAAUAUGCAUUUAAGGUUCCUCCAUGUCUUUCCAUGCCUUGAUAACUCACUUCAUUUUAACACCAUAAAUAGUCCAUUUUCUGCCUGGACCACAGUUUAUUUAUCCAUUCACCUACUGAAGAACAGCUUAGUUGUUUCUGAGUUCUGGUGAUUAUGAAUAAAGCUGCUAUUAACAUCUGUAUGCAGAUUUGUGUGUGGACGUAAUUUUCCAUUUUGUUCAGUAAACACCAAGGAGAACAGUUGCCAGAUCAUAUGGUAGGAGUACGUUUAGUUUUGUAAAAAAUUGCCAGACCGUCUUCCAAAGUAUCUGGGCCAUUUUUCAUUCCCACAAGCAAUGCAAGAGAAUUCCUGACACUCCACAUCCUCACCAGCAUUUGGUGCUGUCAGUGUUCUGAGUUUUGGCAGUUAUGACUGGUGUGCAGUGAUAUCUAGCUGUUUCAGUCUGCAGCCCCUUGAUGACAGAUGCUGUGGAGCAUGUUUCCAUAGAUUUCUUUGGCAUCUAGUUUCCAUGUUGAGGUGUGUGUUGAGGCAUUUUGCUCAUUUUUUAAGCAGGUUAUUCAUUCUUCUUGUUGAGUUUAAAGAGAUUUUGGUGUAUUCUGGAUAUCAGCCCUUUAUCAAUGUGUCCCUGCCCUUCACCUACAGCACCGGAGUUGUCCUUUGGGUCUCAGUGGAGUGUCAGCUCUUCAAAGAGGUUCCCUGUCUUCACUCACCUAAAUACUGUCCUUGAAUUUUUCACUUUCAUUGACUCACUUUGUUCUUUUAAAAUAGCAUUUCCCAUAAUUUGUAAGUACAUUAAAAAAAAAAAGGCAAUGAUUGAACACUGCCUCCCCCACCAGGCUGUGUGCCCUGUGAGAGCAGAGACCCUGUCCCCACUCACCAUGUCCCAUGACAGCACAUGUCACAUGUCCAUGUAAAUGUGUGUAACGUGGGGCCAAACCUGAUGAGCAGCUAUGAUGACAUGUGUUGGCUACCAUUCAUUGAAUAGAGUUUGUUUCUUGAUCUUAAUUUUAAAUCACAUGAAUGAAACAUGUUUCUUUUGAAAAAUAAAACAACAAAGCACACCUC